rnacentral:rRNA from 1 species
UCGGGAAUUUUGGGCAAUGGGCGAAAGCCUGACCCAGCAACGCCGCGUGAAGGAUGAAGUAUUUCGGUAUGUAAACUUCGAAAGAAUAGGAAGAAUAAAUGACGGUACUAUUUAUAAGGUCCGGCUAACUACGUGCCAGCAGCCGCGGUAAUACGUAGGGACCAAGCGUUGUUCGGAUUUACUGGGCGUAAAGGGCGCGUAGGCGGCUUGACAAGUCACUUGUGAAAUCUCUGGGCUUAACCCAGAACGGCCAAGUGAAACUGUCAUGCUAGAGUGCAGAAGGGGCAAUCGGAAUUCUUGGUGUAGCGGUGAAAUGCGUAGAUAUCAAGAGGAACACCUGAGGUGAAGACGGGUUGCUGGGCUGACACUGACGCUGAGGCGCGAAAGCCAGGGGAGCAAACGGGAUUAGAUACCCACGUAGUCCCUGAGCGGGCUGGCAAGGCGCAU